rnacentral:lncRNA from 1 species
CGAGAGGGUCAGCCAGGGAGUGGGGGGCCGCGCCGGGGGUCUGUCCAGGGUCUGACUGUCCAGGGUCUGACAGCCCAGGGAGUCCUCAGUGUCCUCUCUCCACCCUGAUCAUUCUGUCCUGAGAUGGUGACCCCGAGGGUCUUCACCCAUGCAGGAACAUUUGCACGUCCACCCACAGUGACGGUUUCUGGCGGUGGGAAAAAGUGGAAGAUGCAGGCCAGAGGAAGGAUGCUGCCUGACCGACCACAGCCAGCUCUGCCUAGCAGCCCCGAGAGCAGGCAGAGGAGGGAGCAGGAAGAGACCACAGCUGAUCCCAGCCUUCCUGGCCCUGACGAUUUCACCUUCCCCAUCCAACCUUUGAAUGAGAAGCAAAGUGGGCCAGGCACCAUGGCUCAUGCCUGUAAUCCCAGCGCUUUGGGAGGCUGAGGUGCGAAGAUUGCUCGAGCCCAGGAGUUUGAGACCAGCCUGGGCAACACAGCAAGACUCCCGUCUCUACUAAAAAUAAAAACAUUAGCUAUGUGUGGUGACACAUGCCUGUGGUCCCAGCUACUUGGGAGGCUGAGAUGGGAGGAUCACUUGAGCCUGGCAGUUUGAGGCUACAGUGAGCCACGAUUGUGCCAUUGUACUCCAGCUUGAGCAACAGAGCAAGACUCUGUCUUUUAAAAAGAAAAAAGGCAAAGUACAGAGGCAUUGCCUGUUAUCCCUGCUGCCAACGGGUCUGGCCCUCAGAAGGGAUGGGUUGCCAGAUGACGCAGGUGGGCCCCUCCUGGCCUUGCACAGGGUCCCCCCUCCUUUUUUUUUUUUUUUUGAGACAGAGUCUCACUCUGUCACCCAGGCUAGAGUGCAGUGGUGUGAUCUCGGCUCAUUGCAACCUCUGCCUCCCGGGUUCAAGCGAUUCUCCUGCCUCAGCCUCCCGAGUAGCUGGGACUACAGGCGUGCACCACCACACCCAGCUAAUUUUUGUAUUUUUAGUAGAUACAAGCCUCAGGCUUCAGGCCUCUAGAGCCACAAGAAAACGAAUUUCUGUUGUGGUUUUUUUGUUUUUUUGGAGAGUCUCACUCUGUCACCCAGGCUGGAGUGCAAUGGUGCAAUCUCGGCUCACCACAACUUCUGCUUCCCAGGUUCAAGCGAUUCUCCUGCCUCAGCCUCCCAAGCAGCUGGGAUUACAGGCAUGCGCCACCACCCCCAGCUAAUUUUUUGUAUUUCUAGUAGAGGCGGGGUUUCACCAUGUUGGUGAAAUUGGUCUCGAACUCCUGACCUCAGGUGAUCCACCUGCCUCAGCCUCCCAAAGUGCUGGGAUUAUAGGCAUGAGCCACCUCGCCCGGCCCCAACGGACCCAUCUUCAAGUGUGUAAUUCAAUGGCAUCAACUCCAUUCACGAUGUUGUGCAACUGUCACCUCUAUUAAUAGUUCCAGAACAUUUCAUCAUCCCAAACAGAAACUCUGUACUCAUUAAGCAAUAUCCCUCCCACCCUCCGCCCCCC